GAUGAACGCUGGCGGCGUGCCUAAUACAUGCAAGUCGAGCGAACGGACGAGAAGCUUGCUUCUCUGAUGUUAGCGGCGGACGGGUGAGUAACACGUGGAUAACCUACCUAUAAGACUGGGAUAACCUCGGGAAACCGGAGCUAAUACCGGAUAAUAUUUUGAACCGCGUGGUUCAAAAGUGAAAGACGGUCUUGCUGUCACUUAUAGAUGGAUCCGCGCUGCAUUAGCUAGUUGGUAAGGUAACGGCUUACCAAGGCAACGAUGCAUAGCCGACCUGAGAGGGUGAUCGGCCACACUGGAACUGAGACACGGUCCAGACUCCUACGGGAGGCAGCAGUAGGGAAUCUUCCGCAAUGGGCGAAAGCCUGACGGAGCAACGCCGCGUGAGUGAUGAAGGUCUUCGGAUCGUAAAACUCUGUUAUUAGGGAAGAACAUAUGUGUAAGUAACUGUGCACAUCUUGACGGUACCUAAUCAGAAAGCCACGGCUAACUACGUG
rnacentral:rRNA from 1 species